AUCCCAAUCCUCUCCAUAUGCAUAGCAUUCAUUAGGGUCUUCUGAAUCAUCAUCGUCAUAGUCCCACUCUUCAUCACUUACAUCGUCUGGAUGAGUAUCAUCAUCAUGACCAAAGUCCUCUUCAGAUUCGUAGCUUUCACUUGUGUCUUCCUCACAAGUAUCAUCAUUCUCUGAAGCAAAAUUAUUUGCAGAGUAAUCACUCAAGUUCUCUGCAAAAGCUAAAUCAAGAUCCCAAUCUUGUUCAUAUGCAUAGCAGUCAUUUAUGUCCUCUCCAUAAGGAUAAUCAAAAUCAAAGUCCCCUUCAUAUGAAUAGCCAUCACUGUGGUAAUCAAGAUCACAACCCUCAUCACAAAUAUCAAAGAAAUCACUCCAGUCGUCCAUCGGU